rnacentral:rRNA from 1 species
UGGUCCUACGGGGCGCAGCAGUGGGGGAUAUUGCACAAUGGGGGAAACCCUGAUGCAGCGACGCCGCGUGGGCGAAGAAGUAUUUCGGUAUGUAAAGCUCUAUCAGCAGGGAAGAAGAUGACGGUACCUGACCAAGAAGCCCCGGCUAACUACGUGCCAGCAGCCGCGGUAAUACGUAGGGGGCAAGCGUUAUCCGGAUUUACUGGGUGUAAAGGGAGCGCAGACGGCAGUGCAAGUCUGGAGUGAAAGCCCGGGGCCCAACCCCGGAACUGCUCUGGAAACUGUGCGGCUAGAGUACUGGAGGG